CGUAAAGGACGCGUAGGCGGGUGGAAAGUCAGAUGUGAAAUCCUACAGCUUAACUGUAGAACUGCAUUUGAAACUUCCAAUCUAGAGUAUGGGAGGGGGAGAUGGAAUUAGUGGUGUAGGGGUAAAAUCCGUAGAUAUCACUAGGAAUACCGAAAGCGAAGGCGAUCUCCUGGAACAUAACUGACGCUAAGGCGUGAAAGCGUGGGGAGCAAACAGGAUUAGAUACCCUGGUAGUCCACGCCCUAAACGAUGUUCACUAGUCGUCGGGAUGCUAGUCAUCUCGGUGAUGCACUUAACAGAUUAAGUGAACCGCCUGGGGAGUACGGUCGCAAGAUUAAAACUCAAAGGAAUAGACGGGGACCCGCACAAGUGGUGGAGCAUGUGGUUUAAUUCGAAGAUACGCGAAGAACCUUACCUAGCCUUGACAUUGAGAGAACCUGCCAGAGAUGGCGGGGUGCCCUUCGGGGAGCUCGAAAACAGGUGCUGCACGGCUGUCGUCAGCUCGUGUCGUGAGAUGUUGGGUUAAGUCCCGCAACGAGCGCAACCCUCGUCCUUAGUUGCUAGCAGUUCGGCUGAGCACUCUAAGGAGACUGCCUUCGUAAGGAGGAGGAAGGUGAGGACGACGUCAAGUCAUCAUGGCCCUUAUGGCUAGGGCUACACACGUGCUACAAUGGGGCGUACAGAGUGUUGCGAUACCGCGAGGUGGAGCUAAUCACUUAAAGCGUCUCUCAGUUCGGAUUGGAGUCUGCAACUCGACUCCAUGAAGCUGGAAUCACUAGUAAUCGUAGAUCAGCAAUGCUACGGUGAAUACGU
rnacentral:rRNA from 1 species